rnacentral:lncRNA from 1 species
GUGAUUUUUAAACUGAGCACAAACAGGUCUUUCUGCCGCUGGUACAGCCGCUCCCUCCCGGUACCGCGCCGCGCGCAGGUCGCUCUCCUCCGACGGCGCUGCCAACGCCGGGACGCGGCGCAGAGGGGGUUUCACCCGCUGCCAAAGUCACAGGAGUUCGAGGUUGUGGGGUUUUUCCUAAAUAAAAGACGUCACCUCGGGGUGCGAGCGAGGGGUGGGGGGCAGGGAGAGAGAGAGACGGCGCUGUGGCUGGUGCAUCCGCCCGCUCCAGCAGUAACCGCUCCCUGCGGGGCUGGGUCCCCCCCUCCCCUUGCUGGGUCCCCGGAUCCUUCGGGCCCCCUCUCCUCGAGCUUGCGGUCAGCUCGCCCGGGAAGGGGUGCCAGGCCCCGGGCGGCACUUUUAUUUUGGCUGAGAGGAGAGAACGCUGCUCCCAGGCCCGCAGAAGGCGAACUGAGCCCUUCUGUUUGGAUUUCCCUCCUCGCUAUAGCAACCAGCAGCAUCCGGACAAAAAUGCGCCCUCCCUGGACAAUGGCCCGGCCUCCCGCUUCUCGCCCUCGUCUUCCUCCACCGGAUCGCAGCCAGGACCUGCCUAGGAGCUCAGCGGCUCCGAGGCGGGGAACGCCCCCGCCCCCACUCCCGCUCGGCUCGCCAGCGGUCCCUCCCGGGGUCAGGCCGGGGCGCGGGGACGCCGCAGCCCCUGCUCCCGACCCAGGGGCUCAUCCCGCAGGCAGGCCGGGGCCGGGACGCAGAACCUCCGGGCAGAGCUCGGGGGUGGGGGCCCCACCGCGGACUUCUCCGCGGGACCGUGUGCGUGGCGGGAUGGUCCUGAGUGGCACAAACUCCAGCUCUUUUCCAGGGUUAAGGGACAAUCAUCCCUAUAAUGCACAAAGCAGGCUACUCCCUCUCUCCUCCCCCACCCGCACACACUCACAUUCACGUAAAUAUAAGCAUCCUAAACAGAGGAUCCCAGGCACGAUCUCUGACUUUCUUUCACUCUCUCAAGGUUAA